rnacentral:rRNA from 1 species
AUUGAACGCUGGCGGCAUGCUUUACACAUGCAAGUCGAACGGUAACAGGUUAAGCUGACGAGUGGCGAACGGGUGAGUAAUGCAUCGGAACGUGCCCGGUCGUGGGGGAUAACGCAGCGAAAGCUGCGCUAAUACCGCAUACGAUCUGAGGAUGAAAGCGGGGGACCGUAAGGCCUCGAGCGAUCGGAGCGGCCGAUGUAAGAUUAGGCAGUUGGUGGGGUAAGGGCUCACCAAGCCAACGAUCUGUAGCUGGUCUGAGAGGACGCCCAGCCACACUGGGACUGAGACACGGCCCAGACUCCUACGGGAGGCAGCAGUGGGGAAUUUUGGACAAUGGGCGAAAGCCUGAUCCAGCAAUGCCGCGUGCAGGAAGAAGGCCUUCGGGUUGUAAACUGCUUUUGUACGGAGCGAAAAGGUCUCCUCUAAUACAGGGGGCUCAUGACGGUACCGUAAGAAUAAGCACCGGCUAACUACGUGCCAGCCGCCGCCGUAA